ACCCCGGGCGCACUUACACUGGCAUCGUGUCCAAAUUGCAGUGGGGAAAGAACAAUGAAAAUCCAUUUAAUCCUGAGCUGUCACAGGGGCUGGAAAUAAAACACCCUUGCUGUUGUUCUGUGGACUUCCUCUCACAGUUUUCUAGUGGAAUGCUGUUAUCCCAAGGACUACCAGAGUGAGAAUCAGCUGUUCAUGUCCUUUUGGAGCACCUGUGAGAGUUUUGUUCACGUGGAGAAUUGUGCUGUGCCGGGGGGAAUGGACAGAGUCACCCAGAGAUUUAAGGCAGUGAAUGAUGGUGAGCUAGCAACAUCUUCUGAAACAUGCUGGCCACCAAUAUCUGCCAACCUGUUUUCUGAGAGAGGGGGAGAGACAGGAAGAGAGAAGGUUUUAUACAUGGAAGUAGGAAUACAUCUAUAACAACAUGUAUCAACCUUCUUAAAUGAUAAUACACUGUGUGUUUUAGAUGGUCAAGCCAAUAUUAAUGGAAAUGUAAGUGAACAUAAUUUGAACUAUUGUUCUUUUCUGACAUCAUCUCUUUGGUCAGUAUGGAUUGGACACCUGCACUGAGGUAUGUUGUUUAGCCAAAUUGCUCAUUUAGUUUCAUUAUUAUGCAUACAACUUUACUGACAGUAGAGAGAGGAGAUUAUCAGAUCUUUAUGAAAAUCAUGCUCAAAGAAAUUAUAUUUUUCCUUUGAUAAUUUGUCUGUAUGAACUUCAUGCAGUUAUUUUGAUCAAGAAAUGGUAUGAAAGCUUAUAACCUUAAUCUUUCCUAACUUACAAAACACAUUAUUAAAGCAGACAUAAGAUGAUCAUGCAGCUUAAUAUAAAAUAAAUAUUUGCAGGUCAUUUACAUUGACAGAAUCUUUGGAUAAAAUAAAAAGGAGGCAGAUGCUUGGCUUAUGGAGCUAAGAGUGUUACCUUCACCCUUAGGCCUUCAUGGUAUAAGGUCCCAUGAUGGGCCAAGUGCACACACACAGGUCAGUUGGUCCACAGGAGUUCUGUUCACUCUUUCAGCUGCACCUGCAGAAUGAAGCCUGGGCCAAAUUCUGAAAAAUGUGAAAGACUAGGAAAAUAUAAGUUCCUUUUUCUCUUAAUUUGGCAUUAUCAAUGCUUUUUGGUAGAACUGACAUAGGCAAUAAUUAUCUGUAUAUAGCUGCACUGCAAGCAAUUUUAUUUCUUUAAUAUGUCUAGGACAAUGGUUCACAUCGUUAUCAUUGGAGUUAGCCAGAGAAGCAGCACAAUAAAGUUAUAUUUCUUGAGUGCAUUUUUGCUGACAACAUUUUGUUGCAAACAUAUUUUGAUGGAGUUAGGAAAUAUGAACUGGACAUAUUUUCUGUUGGAAAAUCCUGAUUGAAACUGAAAUGCUUUUAGAAAUAUGCCAUAUUUUAUUAGUACAAUGUUGAUAUGUACAACACUGAUAUGUACAAUAUUAAAAGCAAAAAUAUGCUGUUAAAAAUGAAAAUAAAUAAUAUACUGUUU